GGCGUUUGGCACAACUAUUUUCCAUUUGCCGCCAGGAAAUAGCGCGCCAGCGCUCUUAUUAUUGAAAAAAAAUCCCCGUAAAUCACUCCGCCACGCCGCCCUCUUUCCACUUCUCCUCACCCACGCCGCCAUCUCUCCACUUCUCCUCUGCUUCCACCUCCUAAUCCAUCCCAAUCCAUCUAAUGGGAUCCCUCCAACCCGCUGGCCACUGAUGUGCAUCACCUCAAUCAGAUGAACAAAGAUCCAUUGGUUUGGUGGGCGGUCUGACGGAGACUUGGCGGGCGGGCGGGCGAUUGGAGGCCGUGGAGGUUGGGGGACAGAGACCGGCCGGCGUGUGCAUUGGGGCCAACGGCGGCGAUUGGGCGGGAAGGUCGGAGGAAGUCUUCUGCAACGAGCAAUUUCGUCUUCAGCUUACAGAUUAACAAUGGCAAGGAUACCAAGACGACUACAGGACUUGGACCUUACAAUGCAUGAUCCAGAACAUGUGCAGCUUGGUGAAGAAAAUCUGCAAGGUCCUCCAGAGAUUGAUAAUAUAGUACCAGGAAGAUCUCAUGAAUCCACUAGCCAAAUCAAGAUAAUUUGUAAGUCUCGAUGUGCAGGAGCCACGAACUACUAUGCAGGAGCUGCAACAAACCAAAUCAAAAGAGGGUUGUGGCAGUGCGCCUUUACCACAUGAACAUGUGAUCACUAAGAAUGCCCAUGCUGAAAAUAAUCUUCUCGUGCAGCAAGGCGGUCCUGAACCAAGUUUAUGACUUCAAGCCGCUAAGCAGAAUGAUCAUGCUCAAAAUAGCAAUGCAACCAAGCCAUGUGGUCAUCACCAAGUCACUAAGCAGGUACAUAUAGGCUACAUAUCCAAAUGACAAUGAUUGUAUAAUAGAUAGUUGGUCUAAUUAUUUGUGAAAUUGUUCUUAUUUGUGUAAAAUGAAAUCUUCUCAAGUUCAUCAAUAACAAAUGUUUCAUUUCUUCAAAAAAUGGAUAAAGUUGAAGUUGUGUUGUAUUCAAUGAACUCGAGAAACAAAGACAAACUCGUAGCCAAAGGGACUUUAGUGAGUAAAGAGAAAACAUAUGUGGUUGGAGGAAACAUGCUUGGAGUGCAAUACGUUGCAGUUCUUGUUCGCGGCUGUACAUAUCUAGGAGAUGAGAAACUAGUUAGACCAUAUGAAAAAUUCCAAACAGUAAGGGAUGCUAUGGGUUCUAUUAUUGCUUGGCCUCGCUCACAUGUAAGUAUGUUUUCAUUCAAGCAUUGUGUAUGCUCCAAUUUGCACAUGUGUGAUAUGUUAUUUAUCCAGAAUCUUUCUUGUUUUUAGGUAAAAAUAGUUAAGCCAACUCCUCCAGCACAACCACAAAGCAUUGGGUGGUGAGGAAUUGAAAAGUGAGUGCAUUAAAGGAGCUAGGAGUGGCUAGUUAGUUGAGGACUUGAAAAGGGAGUGCACUGGAGGAGUCAGGAGCAGUUGAUGAAUCUAUCUUUGAAUGAACAAAUAUUCUGGAUUAUGUAUAGAUUUUAGCUUCAUAGAGAAAAAUAGUUCCAGUCUAUAGGAUCUUUUCUUAUUUAUUUUCAACAUUGCAUGUUUCAUAUGAAUGUUUGAUAUUAUUCAGCUGUGAACUCCACGUACUUUUAGUGGAGACAUUGUUCGUGCUAAAUGCAUUGGAUGUUGUUACCGAGGUUGCCAAUGUUUGCAAAUGCAAUCUAUGAAGUGGAAUGAUGCCUUCA